rnacentral:lncRNA from 1 species
GUUUGGGUAAGUCUCUAGCACACUCCUUGUCUCUCACCAGGUGAUGCCUGAGACUACCUCAGAACUGACAACUGAAAGACUGUCUCCACAUAUAUCCCUUUUACCUUGAACAAGAAUCGUGAUCCCAAAUAAAUAAUUUUUCAUGAAAAUUUUACCCAAUAGCAUUUAGAGAACCAAUUAAUGCUCAACUGAGUGUCAUAUUUCUGGAGUGGAAGCAAUCCAAGACUCAGUUUAUGAUGUCCUGUGUUUAUAUCACUUCCCUGUCAGCUCAUCUCAGAAUAUUGCAGUGAUCACUUCAUUUUUGCCUUUUUUUUUAUCCCUUUGGGAUUAGAAAUUGGAGUUUGAACAUUCCUGUUGUAUUUUGAGCUGUCUAAAGUGAUUUUUGCAAUUAUCCCAAAUUGAAACACAUAUGUACAGAGAGUUGAAUAUUAUUAUAAGUAUUUUUUUUGUUUUCUGUUUAUAACAUAACUUAUAUUAUUUUUCCUUCAGUGUCUGGUCCCCUUCAUACCUCAGUGUGAUGAUAGGACCGUGAAUGCUUGUAUUAAAUAAGGUCAUGUUAAUUGAGAAAGUCACUGUAAUCAAGUCCAAUCAAGUAUAGAAGGCUUGGCAUUGACCUUGAUAUGACUGAGAGUGUCAUUAUUAUAUUAUUACGUUUUUACUUUUCCCAGUUAAAAUGCAUUAAAACCCAAGGAAGAGACAGUGUGAGUCUGCUGCAUUUAAUUGUUAACAAUUCUGAAAGCCCCGGGAUCUGGAUUCUGUUUCAGGCUCAGUUGUUAUCUGUUGUGUGGGCGUGUCAAAAUCCUUCUCUUAUUCAGACUUUCAUGUAAACAUCGGCAAACACAAAUCCCCAUUUAUGACUGCCAGGACUUACUCUUGUCCUAAAUAUAUAUUGCUAGACUACAGCUCAUAAUAUGGAUUAUAGAAGACUAUGUUUGUCAGAUGACAUUAUUAUUUUCCAUAUCUUGGUUUUUACAAAGCAGUCUUAAUUGAUAAUAUAGUCCCAUUUUUCCAAAUUACCUUUCUGUUCAUUAAAGUUUUUACUUCCCUCCCCGAGGAAGAUUUUGAAUCUCCACCAGCCAUAGCAGUCUGCUAUAUAUGAAUAACCAUCUUGCUCAGAUUAUAAGAUCCAAUGAAACACUCAAAGCUCUCACAAUAUUUUCCUUCCCCAUAGUUUCUCUUUGUGAUCUGCAGUUAGACCUGUCAGCUGUCAAGUGACCAGCUCUACCUCAUUCACCUUAUAAGACUGUAUCUUAAAGUCAAGGUCAACUUCCCAUCCCUCCAGAACAGGGGCUUGAGAUUCCACAUCAAACAAGACUUAAAAUUGCCUAGCUAACUCUUUCCCAUGCCUGAGGGUGCAUAUGUUGAAAACAGAGAAAGCAAGCUUUACCCAAGGAAGCUGAGGUUCUUUGCCCAGUCAUGUGAAGAAACUAACUAAAUAUUUAAGGUUUGUUGAUGCCAACAUAUUGUUUUUUAAUUUCAAUACCCUUCCACAUAUUAAUUCAUGGGACUCUCACAAACAACUCUGCAAAGACGCAGUAGUCAUUGUGUCUCUUCGAUUAGGCAACAGAGCCACAGAUGGUCUAACUGGAGUGCCAAGACUGUUAGUAAGAAAGGGAGGGAACCAGGGCUGGCAUCCAGCUGUCAUCAGCCUAUUGCAAGAAUUUGACAAGUACUGUGUAGGAGCCCUAAGACUUAGUAGUACACAGAUAAACCAGAGAUCAUAACCCCUAUCUACCCGGUUCAGAGGUGUGAAUGAAUCACAAGAUAUUACAAAGGUCAUUCACUUAUUAUUGUCUGACAUCCAAGUAUACUUUAAUUUCUCAGCAACGUCAUCAAAUAUCAAGACCUGAAUUUAACAAUGCUUCAAGUCCAAACAAAAUGUGUUCACACAAACUGUUCCCCCUGCUUGUAUUAAGUAAGCUGUAAUAAAGGAUCUAUCUAGUACAUUGCUUCUCAGCCUUCCUAAUGCUGCAGCCCUUUAAUAGAGCUCCACAUGUUGGGGUGACCUCCAAUCAUAAAACUAUUUCCAUUGUUAAAGUCUUAACCGUAAUUUUGCUACUAUUGUGAAUAGCAGUGUUACUAUCUGAUAUGUAGUUGGUCUUCCGUGAUCCCUGUGAAAGGGUCUUUGACCCCCAAAGGGGUUACAACCCACAGGCUGAAAAGAAUGAGGUAGUGGGACCUAAGAUGAGAUAAAUAAAUUCAACCUUUGCAAUUUUGGUAUGGUUUGACUUUCUAUUUGUAAAAUGCUAUGAUGGUAAUAUUGUAUUUAUUUAUUUGUUUGUUUAUUGUGGACACUACAGAUAAAGACAAAACAUGACGAAAAACCUGUCUGAAACCCUUAGAAACAUGACAAAUCAAUAAUUUAUAAUUUUGCCUUUGUUUAUGGAACAUUCUUACCUACUAGAAUCUUGCCCCAUUCACAAGGAACUUUCCUCUUUGAUAUAAAGUGAUGUAUAUGCUUAAUGAGGCCCCAAAGAGGACAUUUAAAAAAAAUCAUUUUAGUGUAUGCUUGUGUGUAAGUCAGAGAAUGUCCUGCCAGAGUUGCCUCUUUCCUUCUACCAUGUGGGUCCCUGGACAAAACUCAAGUCAUCAGGCUUUGUGGUGAGUGACUUUACUCACUGGGCCAUCUUGCUGGUUCCCACUGCAACACUUGAACAUUCUUCCUGUAAUUAUUACUUAUUUAGUGGUCUCCUCUCCCCUCCCUCCUCUUCUUCCUACUCCUAUUCCUACUCCUCUUCCUUUUUAAAAUUCAUUUGUUUGAAGUCUUGGCUCCCCACCCACCCCAAGCACCUUUGUAGAGGUGGAUCUGGCUAAUUCUAUUAGAAGCCUUUGUAUAAAAGCUGUGUUCUCCACUGCCUCUUGACUUCCAUUCUUUGAAAUCUACCAUCAUUAAAAGUUUCUGAUGGUCCUUAAUUUCCCCAGGAACUCACCUUUAAUCCACCUUGUCCUUUGAGAAUGCCUGGGUUUUAUUCCUGUGAUUGUUACAUUGCCUUGAACCUAGCAAUUGUUGAGCCCUUUAAUUUAUAUAAAGUUGCAAUGCUUGGAAAAUAACAAUAAAAGAUUUUGGACUG